AAUAGAUACCCUGGUAGUCCAUGCCGUAAACGGUGGGCGCUAGGUGUGAGGGUCUUUCUACGACUUUCGUGCCGUAGCUAACGCAUUAAGCGCCCCGCCUGGGGAGUACGGCCGCAAGGCUAAAACUCAAAGGAAUUGAUGGGGGCCCGCACAAGCGGCGGAGCAUGUGGAUUAAUUCGAUGCAACGCGAAGAACCUUACCUGGGCUUGACAUACAUCAGAUCGCUGCAGAGAUGUAGUUUCCCUUUGUGGUUGGUGUACAGGUGGUGCAUGGUUGUCGUCAGCUCGUGUCGUGAGAUGUUGGGUUAAGUCCCGCAACGAGCGCAACCCUUGUCUUAUGUUGCCAGCAUUUGGUUGGGGACUCAUGAGAGACUGCCGGGGUUAACUCGGAGGAAGGUGGGGAUGACGUCAAAUCAUCAUGCCCCUUAUGUCCAGGGCUUCACACAUGCUACAAUGGUCGGUACAACGCGCUGCGACACUGUGAGGUGGAGCGAAUCGCUGAAAGCCGGCCUUAGUUCGGU
rnacentral:rRNA from 1 species